rnacentral:rRNA from 1 species
CAGAAAGGCGGGUCUACCAUGCAGUCGAACGAUGAUCCCAGCUUGCUGGGGGAUUAGUGGCGAACGGGUGAGUAACACGUGAGUAACCUGCCCUUGACUCUGGGAUAAGCCUGGGAAACUGGGUCUAAUACCGGAUAUGACCGUCUGACGCAUGUCAGGUGGUGGAAAGCUUUUGUGGUUUUGGAUGGACUCGCGGCCUAUCAGCUUGUUGGUGGGGUAAUGGCCUACCAAGGCGACGACGGGUAGCCGGCCUGAGAGGGUGACCGGCCACACUGGGACUGAGACACGGCCCAGACUCCUACGGGAGGCAGCAGUGGGGAAUAUUGCACAAUGGGCGCAAGCCUGAUGCAGCGACGCCGCGUGAGGGAUGACGGCCUUCGGGUUGUAAACCUCUUUCAGUAGGGAAGAAGCGAAAGUGACGGUACCUGCAGAAGAAGCGCCGGCUAACUACGUGCCAGCAGCCGCGGUAAUACGUAGGGCGCAAGCGUUAUCCGGAAUUAUUGGGCGUAAAGAGCUCGUAGGCGGUUUGUCGCGUCUGCUGUGAAAGACCGGGGCUCAACUCCGGUUCUGCAGUGGGUACGGGCAGACUAGAGUGCAGUAGGGGAGACUGGAAUUCCUGGUGUAGCGGUGAAAUGCGCAGAUAUCAGGAGGAACACCGAUGGCGAAGGCAGGUCUCUGGGCUGUAACUGACGCUGAGGAGCGAAAGCAUGGGGAGCGAACAGGAUUAGAUACCCUGGUAGUCCAUGCCGUAAACGUUGGGCACUAGGUGUGGGGGACAUUCCACGUUUUCCGCGCCGUAGCUAACGCAUUAAGUGCCCCGCCUGGGGAGUACGGCCGCAAGGCUAAAACUCAAAGGAAUUGACGGGGGCCCGCACAAGCGGCGGAGCAUGCGGAUUAAUUCGAUGCAACGCGAAGAACCUUACCAAGGCUUGACAUGAACCGGUAAUACCUGGAAACAGGUGCCCCGCUUGCGGUCGGUUUACAGGUGGUGCAUGGUUGUCGUCAGCUCGUGUCGUGAGAUGUUGGGUUAAGUCCCGCAACGAGCGCAACCCCUCGUUCUAUGUGCCAGCGCGUUAUGGCGGGACUCAAUAGGAGACUGCCCGGGUCAACUCGGAGGAAGGUGGAGGACGACGUCAAAUCAUCAUGCCCCUUAUGUCUUGGGCUCACGCAUGCCUACAAUGGGCCCGGUAACAAAGCUGCGAAUACUGUGAGGUUGAGCUAUCCAAAAAGGCGUCUCAGUCGAAUGGGUCUGCAAGUCGAACUCCAUGAGUCGAUCGCCCUAGUAAUCCGAACUCAAGCUAG